rnacentral:rRNA from 1 species
AACAAACGCUGGCGGCGUGCCUAACACAUGCAAGUCGUACGAGAAAGGGUCCUUCGGGGCCUGAGUAAAGUGGCGCACGGGUGAGUAACGCGUGGAUAAUCUGCCCUUCAGUUGGGAAUAACUCAUCGAAAGGUGGGCUAAUACCGAAUAAUGCUGUGAGACCUCGGUUGAUCAGCCAAAGAGUGCCUCUGCUUGCAAGCCCUCGCUGAAGGAUGAGUCCGCGUACCAUUAGCUAGUUGGUAGGGUAAUGGCCUACCAAGGCGACGAUGGUUAGCUGGUCUGAGCGGAUGAUCAGCCACACUGGAACUGAGACACGGUCCAGACUCCUACGGGAGGCAGCAGUGAGGAAUCUUGCGCAAUGGGGGCAACCCUGACGCAGCAACGCCGCGUGAGUGAGGAAGGUCUUCGGAUCGUAAAGCUCUGUCGGAUGGAAAGAACCGCAUAGGGGUAAACAGCCCCUGUGUCUGACGGUACCAUCAAAGGAAGCACCGGCUAACUCCGUGCCAGCCGCCGCCGUAAAAC